GUGCCAGCAGCCGCGGUAAGACAGAGGGUGCAAACGUUGUUCGGAAUUACUGGGCGUAAAGCGAGUGUAGGCGGUCUGAUAAGUCGGGUGUGAAAGCCCCGGGCUCAACCCGGGAAGUGCACUCGAAACUGACAGGCUAGAGUAUCGGAGAGGUUGGUGGAAUUCUCGGUGUAGAGGUGAAAUUCGUAGAUAUCGAGAGGAACACCGGUGGCGAAGGCGGCCAACUGGACGAAUACUGACGCUGAGACUCGAAAGCGUGGGGAGCAAACAGGAUUAGAUACCCCUGUAGUCC
rnacentral:rRNA from 1 species